rnacentral:rRNA from 1 species
UCCUACGGGGGGCAGCAGUGGGGAAUAUUGGGCAAUGGGCGCAAGCCUGACCCAGCAACGCCGCGUGAAGGAAGAAGGCUUUCGGGUUGUAAACUUCUUUUCUCAGGGACGAAGAAAGUGACGGUACCUGAGGAAUAAGCCACGGCUAACUACGUGCCAGCAGCCGCGGUAAUACGUAGGUGGCAAGCGUUAUCCGGAUUUACUGGGUGUAAAGGGCGUGCAGGCGGGAAAGCAAGUCAGAUGUGAAAACCAUGGGCUCAACCCCGGCCCGCCGUUGAAACUGGCAGUCUCGAGUUGGAGAGAAG